rnacentral:rRNA from 1 species
CUCACCAGGUCAGGACACGGUAAGGAUUGACGGACUGAAGGCUCUUUCUCGAUUCCGUGGAAAGUGGUGCAUGGCCGUUUUUGGUUGGUGGAUCGAUCCGUCUGGUUAAUUCCGUUAACGAACGAGACCUCGGCACUCCGAAUAGCGCGGCGGACGUCGCGGCCUCCGGGCCGUCUUCCGCACGAGCUUCUUAGAGGGACCGUCCCCCGCCGGGGAAGGAGGUGCGAGGCAACGACAGGUCUGUGAUGCCCUUAGAUGUUCUGGGCCGCACGCGCAUUACACUGACGCGUCCAACGGGUGACUCCCGACCCGAAGGGGCCGGGGAAUCCGCAAGGCGCGUCGUGAUGGGGAUUGAACGUUGCAAUUGUUGUUCACGAACGAGGAAUUCCUAGUAGGCGCGGGUCAUCAACCCGCGCCGAUUACGU